rnacentral:rRNA from 1 species
UACGUAGGGGGCUAGCGUUGUCCGGAUUUAUUGGGCGUAAAGAGCGUGUAGGCGGCCAUGUAGGUCCGGUGUGAAAACUCGAGGCUCAACCUCGAGACGCCGAUGGAAACCAUCUGACUAGAGUCCGGAAGAGGAGAGUGGAAUUCCUGGUGUAGCGGUGAAAUGCGCAGAUAUCAGGAAGAACACCCGUGGCUAAGGCGGCUCUCUAGUACGGUACUGACGCUGAGACGCGAAGGCGUGGGGAGCGAACAGG